CUCGCUUCUUCUGUCAGUCACUCCCCCCCUCCUACUUCUCCUCCCCUAGCAAAGGCGGGGUAACCUGUUGGAUUCUUCUAUUCUAUCUCCUUGUUCCAGUCUUGCGAUCAUGGAUUUUGAUCGUGCUGUUUGGGAGUGCUAACUGGUUUUGUAGCUUAGUGCGUGUGUGCGUGUGUGUGUGUAUGUGUUUUGAAGAUUUUUCGAGGGUGAAUUUCGUUUUGCGGAUGUUUCCUGAUUUGUGUACAUUCAUUUCCUUUAUGAAGUGACUCCAAAAGUCAAAGUGUUCGUGGUGCAAUGAGUUUUACAACAAAUAGAAAUCGAAGAUUUUGUCUUUAAAGUCAAAGCUGUCCUAUAAUUUUUUAAAAAGAAUAGCGCCUUGUUACCUUACCUUGUAGGAUUGACUGUUCGUGGGAAGUGUUCGAUUGGAUUAUCUCUUUAAAUGGAUUAUCAGAAUAUUCUCGCUGCGUCUACCUUUGAGAUGGAAGGUUAAUCUUCGCGGUUGUUCUUCAUCAGGAUUGUUUCUGAGUUUAUGUCUUCCAACGUCAUGGCUCAGGAAAAAGAAGAAGAGCCAUGGAUCGCUGUGACCCAGGAGGAAAGGACACUAUAUGAGAUUCUUUUCUACAGCCAAGGGCCCGUCGACGGAUAUAUUUUAGGUGAAGGCGUGAGGGAUUUACUGCUCAAGUCUGGAUUAUCUCUUACAGUUCUCAGUCAGAUCUGGUGAGUUACAAGUUCAGCUUGUUGUGGUUUGUCUAUCCAAUGGCAGCCUUGUCUGUCUAUC